GACAGUUGUAAAGUGAUAAACAUCACUUUUGGUGACUCUAUUCACACUUCCUCUGGUGAAAUUCGUCUUCUUUAACUCUAAGAAACUUAGAGAACUUCCUUAACCAUAUUACUUACAAAAAUCACAAGAAAACCCUGGUCCUUUUAGUUGGAAGUCGAGACAUAUCCUAUCUUUUGGGUGUCGGUCAUUCUUGAUAUCUGCUUGUGGUUGGAGUGACGAUAUGAUGUAUAUAUUGGGCGAGCCUUGUUACUGAAUCUCUUGGAAAAUGGUGAUAUGAGCGUUCUUGACAUUUGGAUCUUUAAAUAUCGAACUUGAGACUUUUUAUAUAUUGUUUACUUGAUUUAUUUAUUAUGUUUCAAUUGUGCUGCCCAUGAAUUGAGAAAGGUAGCUUGGUGAACCUGAGGGCUCCGAACGUAUAGUUCUUACACCACUAAGCUAUAUGCUUAGCGAUAGUUGUUUCUAUCGUAGGGAAUGUUCGAGAGAAUGCAUGAAGCUUGCCAUUGGAGAUGGAGAUUUUGAGAGCCUUAAGGAAGAUCACAUUUGCAUAUAGGCAUCUAUAUUUGGUAUAAAUUGGGACUUGUACAUGAUCUAUGUGUUGAACAUUUACAUGAAAUUUUGAAGGCUAAGUUGAUCAUGUCACCAUGGGUUGUACUAUAGGUAUGGCUAUAUUUUUAGUUCUUUUUGGGGUGUGUAAACACAAGUCUUGCAAUAUACUAAAUUUACUAUUUAUUUGAA